rnacentral:rRNA from 1 species
AGCGCGCGCAGGCGGCCUUUUAAGUUGGAUGUGAAAGCCUAUGGCUCAACCAUAGAACUGCAUCCAAAACUAUCAGGCUAGAGUGUGGGAGAGGAAGAUGGAAUUAGUUGUGUAGGGGUAAAAUCCGUAGAGAUAACUAGGAAUACCAAAAGCGAAGGCAAUCUUCUGGAACAUUACUGACGCUGAGGCGCGAAAGCGUGGGGAGCAAACAGGAUUAGAUACCCUGGUAGUCCACGCCCUAAACGAUGAAUGUUAGUCGUCGGGUAGCUAGUCUAUUCGGUGAUGCAGCUAACGCAUUAAACAUUCCGCCUGGGGAGUACGGUCGCAAGAUUAAAACUCAAAGGAAUAGACGGGGACCCGCACAAGUGGUGGAGCAUGUGGUUUAAUUCGAAGAUACGCGAAGAACCUUACCUAGCCUUGACAUAUUUUAGAACACUUUAGAGAUAGAGUGGUGCCUUCGGGAGCUAAUAUACAGGUGCUGCACGGCUGUCGUCAGCUCGUGUCGUGAGAUGUUGGGUUAAGUCCCGCAACGAGCGCAACCCUCGUCACUAGUUACUAACGGUUCGGCCGAGGACUCUAGUGAGACUGCCUUCGCAAGGAGGAGGAAGGUGAGGACGACGUCAAGUCAUCAUGGCCCUUACGGCUAGGGCAACACACGUGCUACAAUGGCCAGGACAAUGAGAAGCGAUACCGCGAGGUGGAGCAAAUCUAU